CUAUGGUUUUUUUCAUUUUUGUUCUCUUCCUUGCGUUAGUGGUUUUGUCACAUUUUCGUAAUUUUCGUUUAUAAUAUUGAAAAAUUUGUGCCUAUUUGUUCAUGGUUUUUGAUGUAUACAUAAGAAAUUUCUUGUUGCACAACUGCAGUGUAUAUAUCUUUACAAAAAGGAAAUGGCGGCCGCGAGCAACAACCCGGUUUACGAAGUGCUCAAUGAUGCUGUGGAAUAUCUAUGUAAACUGGGAUCUAAUUUACGUAUUCGCUCGGAAACAAUGAAGAAUAAAAAUAUUCGCAAGGAAAGACUGAGAAAUUCUCACGCAAUUCAAAAGGCCGCCAAAAAGGUUCUUCUGAUUUGUGAACUCUCUAAAAAAUCUCUGCAGAAUGUUGAAGUUGGUGUUAAAAACGUAUUGACAUCGAUAGAGCAAGCCCAAUCCUGUGGCGGGAAAAAAUUAUCACAGGAGAAUGUUAUUUCACCAAGAGUACAUGAUAAAAAGUAUGAGUAUUUUGAGUAUGAAUCAAUAAAAUUGAGAAUUGCCAAAAAUAUUCCUUUGAAACAUUUUAUGUCUGUCAAGGUUGUGGCUCGAAGCAUGCCUUCUGCUUUACUUAAAAAAUACCCUGUUUUGUAUGAUUGCAAGUUGUAUCGGUUACGAAUGAAGAAAAAUAAACUUCAAAAACAAACUGAUUUAAAUUACAAGGAUAUGACCAAAAGUGAGAAAAAGGAAGAAUCUGAUUUUGAAGGAGAAGUUAAAAGUAAAGAACUGAAUAAUUUUGAAGGAGAUGGAGUUGUGGCUGAUACAAAAGAAGGUAAAGAUGAAAAAUCUGAACCAUCAAAAGUAUACAAAGCAAAAAGAAGUAAGAAAAAAGUUGAUAGCUCAGAUGAUCAUAAAAAGGAAGAAUCUAACAACCCCAAAGUAUACAAAGCAAAAAGAAGUAAGAAAAAAGUGGAUAGCUUAGUUUUAAAUGAAGAAUCUGAAAGGAAAACAGAAAAUGUUCCAUUAGAUAAUGACAGUAAAAGUAAAUUAUCAGAUAAUUUAUCUCCAAAAUCAGAUGCAAAAGUAAAGAAAAAUGAAAAGUCUGAUAGUGAUUCUGAUGAUAAUAACAAGCAUGAAAAGUCUGAACAACAUACAUCCUCAGGAUCUCAUGGAAAGUUGAAAAGGAAACGAGUGGCAAAAUUAGAAGAUGAUUCUGAUAGGGAGUCUAUCAAAUUGAAUUUCAAACAAAAAAAAAGUAACAAUGAUAUUCAAAUUUUAGAUAAUAUUGUAUUAAGUGAUGAUGAUGUUAAAACUGAUAAAGAUGUGAAGCAUAACUCAAAGAAAAUGAGAGUUAUAGAUGAUGACAGUUCUGAUGAGUCCCAAAAAUCAAAAACUGAAAGUAGUACAAAAAAUAAAAAAAAUGAAACUUUAGAUGGUAAUGUUACUGAAAAAAGUGACAGUGAAGAAAAUAAUAAAAUAAAUGAAUCACAUUCUGAUUCAAAAGAAAAUACAAGUGAAGUAAAAAGUGCAGCUUCAGAUGCGAUACCUUUAAUUAAGUGUGUUAGUAUAAGCAAAUUACUUAAGCCUUCUGUAUUAGAAAAAGUAGUUGAGAAAACUAUUAAUAAAGAACAAGAACAAAAUAAAAUGGUAUCACCCAAAACAAAUCAAAUAGAGCAGCAGAGAAGGGACGACAAAAAAUCACAGAAUGAAAGGCUAGAUAACAAAUAUUGGAUGGAAAAAAGAAAGGAAGUUAAAGCUUUCAGACCUAAAAUGUUUAAUAUCAAUGUAAAUAGGUUGCCAAAAUUAACAGAAUUAUUUUUAGAAAAACAUAAUCUGAAUAGAGUUACACAGUUUGGUUCAGUUGUAUGUGAAAAAAAAAAUAAACCCAUAGAAAGUGAUUGUAGCAUAAAUAAAGUUAAAAAUGCUUUAUUAAAUGACUCUGACUCUCAUGAUGGUGCUCAGGAAAAAUCAGAUGACACAGACAGAGUAAAAAGUUCAUUGCUACAAGAGUCAGACUCUGAAAACGAAAACACACCAAAGAAAGAAGAUGAUAAACCUAAUGAAAAUAGUUAUAAUCACCUUGCUGAAAAUCUAGAUGAGAUUUCUAAGAAAACAAAAAAUGCUCUAUUAUCCAGUUCGGAGUCUGAUAAUACUGUAGGUGAUGUUACAAUGAAAGAUAUAAAUGAGAAAUCCCCAACAAAUACAAGAUCUGGAUCUCUUAUUAAUAAUGCAGAUACAAACGAAGGUGAAAAAGAAAAUCAUGAUAAUGAUAAAUCAAAGGAUCAAUUGAAAUCAAAUAAUACGGAUGAAGUUAAAUCUGCUUUGUUAAAUUCAUCUGAUGACAGUCCAAAAACCCCAGCAGAUAAAAGGAGAAGAGACAGUCAGGGCACAACACCAAGAUCUAAAAGGAAGCAUAUUAUGGAAAGUAUGCAUGCUAAGAAAAUGCUACUUACUUAUUCAUCAAGUUCUGAAACAGAGGAUGAACAGUUACGCAGUGUUUUGAAAGAAAUUAAAGAUUCUUUACUUGAAGGGAUUUCUCCUGAUAAAGAAAAGAAGAAAUGUCGGUCUAAACACCAUUGCAGAAAGUUAGCUACUUCAUCAUCAGAUGAUGAAGAAGUUGACAUAAAUAGACAAAAAGAUACAUCUCCUUUAUCUGAUUCAAAUGAAAGAACACUUGAGAAAAAUGAGUUAUUACCAAAGUCUCAAUCCAUUGACCAGAAGAGCUCUGAACAGGAUAAUGAUAACAGUAAGAAUAAACAAAAAGAAACAUCCCCUUUAACUGAUUCAAAUGAAGGUAAAAAUGAAUCAAUACCAAAGUCUCCAUCCACUGAAAACAAAAUCUUUGGUGAGGAUAAUGAUGAUAAAAAUAAACAUAAUGAAACUGAUUCAAAUGAAAACGGUUUAAAAAAUGAAAGUAGCUCAGUACGAAGGUCUUCCUCAACUGAAAAGAAGAGUAGUGAAAAGGAUAAAUCAGGAUCUGAAUCCGGAACUCAAGAUUGUACUGAUGAUGCCUCAGACAAACAGUCUAAUUCCAGUAGAAGCAAGAUUGGGCGUUCAAGGACAAAUAGCACACGCAGUGGUAGCAGUCAAAAAUCAGACUUCUUGGACACUGACAAAGAUAUUAAUGGGCUAACGAAUCUCAAAACCCUGAAUAAAGCCCGACGACGGCGAUCAACGUCGUCCGAGACGAAGUCGUCCAGGGCUCCCAGGCGCAAGAAGAAAAUGUCCAAGUCACUCAUCAGUUCCGAGGUCAUGCUCAAAGCUGAGUCGAGCUCAGAUGCGGCGUCGGGGGCGGAGAGCGAAGGUGGUGAAGAUCUAUCAACAGUAACUAUGGCACCACUGAAUGGAGGCAUUGACGACUUGUCAAAGGCAGAUUUACUGGUAGAAAGUGACUCUUCUAGUUCUAAAAAUGAAUCUGGGGGGGAGGCAACUAAAGAAGAGUCAGAUGAAAACCUGAAAUCUAAGCGCAACCGCAAAGCCAAUGCGAUAUCGUCCGAUUCGGAAGCCGGUUCGUCUCGUAAGAAAAAUGCUAAGGUCAAAAUUAGCGAUUUUGAGGAUUCUGAAGCGGAGAGUUCUGAGCCGGUUAAGAAGAGUAAGAGAAAGAAGGUCGUUGAUAGCGAUGCGUCGGUCGGCUCCUCCGAUGGCGGUAAAAAGAAACGUCGCCGCAUCAAGCAGGUGGACAGCGACGGCUCGGGCUCCGACACGGAGAACGAGGGUCGAAACAAACACGGCAGGAAGAACAUCCGCAAGGUAAUGGGCAAAAACCAGUUGGAAGAAGCUACAAAGAAAGCGGCGAGACAAGAAAAGGAGAGGAUUGCUCGUAUUGCCGAGAGGCAGAAAAUGUAUAACAAUUUGGAGUUCGACGAAUCUGGGAAACCGGACGAGGUGGUGUUGGAGAAGGUGGUGCUGGAUUUCGACCCUGAAACCAAGGAGCCUCUGAUAGAAGUCGACAGGGGACUGGUCAAGAAACUGAAACCGCAUCAGGCGAACGGGAUAAAGUUCAUGUGGAACGCGUGUUUCGAGAGCGUGAAGCGUAUCAAGAAGGACAAGGGCUCUGGAUGCAUUCUCGCGCAUUGCAUGGGCUUGGGCAAAACACUCCAGGUGGUGUCCCUAACGCACACAUUGCUGACUCACGGCUCUCUGACUGGCGUGAACAGAGUGUUGGUGGUGUGCCCACUGUCAACCGUCCUGAAUUGGGUGAACGAAUUCAAUAUGUGGCUCAAACAUGCCGAGACUGAGUACGAAGUUGACGUAUAUGAGCUAUCCAGGUUCAAACAGAACUCGGAGCGUGCGUUCCAACUGCAGCAGUGGUUCAAGCACGGCGGGGUCUGCGUGUUGGGGUACGAGAUGUUCCGCAACCUGUCGGCCGACAACGCCAAGAAGUUCAAGAAGAAGAUGCUGCGCAACUUCCAGGAGAGCCUUGUAGAUCCUGGUCCGGACCUGGUGGUGUGCGACGAGGGCCACCUGCUGAAGAACGAGAAGACGAGCCUGUCGCAGUCCAUGAACCGCGUGCAGACGCUGCGCCGCAUCGUGCUCACCGGCACGCCGCUGCAGAACAACCUCAAAGAAUACUACUGCAUGGUGCAGUUCGUGAAGCCGAACCUGCUGGGCAAGUACAACGAGUACCUGAACCGGUUCGUGAACCCCAUCACCAACGGACAGUACACGGACUCCACGGAACACGACAUCCGCGUCAUGAAGCGGCGCUCGCACGUGCUGCACAAGAUGCUGGACGGCGCCGUGCAGAGAAGAGACUACGGGGUGCUGGCGCCAUUCCUGCCUCCAAAACACGAGUAUGUGUUGUUCAUCACCCUCACCGAGCUCCAGAUCAAACUGUACCAGCAUUACUUGGACAACUACUCCAGACGGCCUCAACCGGGAAAGUCCUCAGGAUUCCUGUUCCCCGACUUCCAGUCUCUACAGAGGAUUUGGACGCACCCGCUCGUGUUAAAAUAUAAUUCUGAGCGGUAUGAAAUCAUGCAGCAGAAAAAGAGGGAUAAGGAGGAAGAAGAUUCAGAAGGCUCUCUAGCGGACUUCAUUGAUGAUGACUCUACGCCCGAUGAGUCGUCGUCGGAGGAGUCGACGGCCUCGUCGGAGUCGGGGUCGGAGGACAGCCGCAGCCGCAGCCACAAGAAGGGCAAGAAGAAGAAGUCCGCCGGGAAGGGUUCGCGGCGCGGCACUCGCGCCAACCCAGUGGAAUUAGAAGAGGAAGAGAAGCCGGCCGAAGUGGUGGAACAGAAGUAUUCCAACCCAACGGAGUGGUGGAUCGACAUGGUGACUGAAGACGAGCUCGAGGACAUGAGGAACUCCUCCAAGCUGAUACUGCUGUUUGAUAUACUGCGGCAGUGUGAAGCUAUAGGGGACAAACUGUUGGUGUUCUCACAAUCUCUGUACUCACUAGAUCUUAUAGAACAUUUCCUUGGCAAAGUGGACGAGGCGACGCAAGAGGGUCGCGUUGAUGAGAAACUAGGUGGCCACGUAGGCUCGUGGUCCCCGGGCGUGGACUACUUCAGACUGGACGGGUCGACCUCGUGCGAGAACAGAUCCAUCUGGUGCAAGAACUUCAACCGAGAGGACAACCCCAGGGCUAGACUGUUCCUGAUCUCGACGCGCGCGGGCGGGCUGGGCAUCAACCUGGUGGCCGCCAACCGCGUCGUCAUCUUCGAUGUCUCCUGGAAUCCCUCGCACGACGUGCAGAGCAUAUUCCGCGUCUAUCGCUUCGGACAGAAGAAACCGUGCUAUAUUUAUCGGUUUUUGGCUAUGGGCACGAUGGAGGAGAAGAUCUACGAGCGGCAGGUGACGAAGCAGGCGAUCAGCAAGCGCGUGAUCGACGAGCAGCAGAUCGACCGGCACUACGCGGAGAACGACCUCGCCGAGCUCUACACGUUCGAGCCGCGCGCGCCCGCGCCGCGCCCCACGCCGCCGCUGCCGCGCGACCGUCUCUUCGCGGAGAUGCUGCGGGAGCAUGAGCCGCAGAUCUACAAGUAUCACGAGCAUGACUCGUUGCUGGAGAACAAGGAAGAAGAGACUCUAUCGGAAGAGGAACGCAAGGCGGCGUGGGAGGACUUCGAGAACGAAAAGAAUAGGCCUCCGCCUGCGCCCGCGCCUAUGGCCUGGCCCGGCAUGAUGUCCGGCAUCCUGCAGCAGCAGCAGCUGGCGUACGCGGCGCUGGCGGCGAUGCUGCGCAAGGACAUGCCCAACAUGAGCGACCAGCAGAUCCGCGACAUGUUGCCGCACAUCUACAACGCCAACCCGGGGAUGUUCGGUGGAUAUGAUUAUGGCUUGAUGCAGAAAAUGGGUGAAAUUUAUAAAUACGGGCAGCCUGGCAUGAUGAAUCCGGGAAUGAUGAAUCCUCUGAUGGCGGGCGCGGGGUCGGGCAGUAUGAGCGGGUCCAGCGCCCUGGGCUACGAGCCGCCGUGGCAGCGGCAGCAGCAGCAACAGCAGCAGAUGCGGCUGCAGCAGAUAUUGCAGCAGCAACACAGUAUGGGCGCGAAAUACUACGCGGGCGGGCUGGGCAGCCGGGACCCGGUGGCCAUGGCGCUGCAGCAGCAGCGCGCGCGCGAGAUCAUGGUGGGCGAGCGACAGCGCGGGCGCGGCCGGCCGCCGCUGCAGCCGCGCGCGCCGCGUCCGCCGCCCUCCGCCGACGUCGUCACGCUCGACUCCGACUAGCUGUGUGCGGUGUAUGCCAGCCAACACUUCUUUAUUUCUAGAGAUUACGAGACGUACCGUGUAUAGUGCAAGGACGUGUACAGUGAACGAUACAAGGUGCUACGUACGAGGCGUACCGCGGCCCUGGCCAAAUGUGGAGUGAUAUAACUCGGUAGAUUAUUACCUAGGGCUUACGCUCCACGCAACUCCCGCGCAUUUUGUACUCGAAAUGCUCUUGGUGAUAAUUUGUUCUCGGAAUGUCUUUCCUGAUUGGUCUUAUUGAGAUGAAAAGUAUUAUAAAAAUAGUUUUUUUUUUCUAGCUAAAGGACGAAAGGCUACAGUUAAUUAUGAUACACCUCAUAUUUUAAAUUUACCUUAUUUCCAAAAAGGGGAUUAACAAAUUCAGUGCACAUAACGUUUAAAUUGCAAGUGGCACAUAAAUUAUUUUGAUCAACUGUUUGAUUUACAUUUUUAGCAUAAAUACAUUUACAUAUAAAAUGAUGAUUAAAGAUUCUCGAAAUUUGUAUGAUUAAGUCUUAAUUAUAAUAUUAAGUUUUUGAAAUUGUUUAAAAAUAGACAUUCCCGGAAUAAUUGAAAGAGAGAUAUUUCGUUAACAGAACAUAAUGUAUGGGACAUACCCGCAUACAUAUCAUGAAUCUCACUCGUUUAUUUAACACUAGUGAUACCCAUUGACUUCGGCCACGUAGAAAACCAGUGCUUUUUAAAUAUAGCUUUUCUAUUGGUAUUACGCGUUAUUCUCGCCUUACGCGUACUAAACUAAAAUGUUGUGUGAUUUGCGAUAUAUAGACGCGAGUCAAUCAAUAAGGCUAUAGCGAAUGCCAAGCAUCUUUAAAUGUUUGCAAUCUUCUUUUCCUUCUUCUCUUGAUCUUCAUACGAUUUCGAUAAUUAUUUCGAGUUAUUUACAAGCUGUUAUGUUUGGAAAAGUGACUAUAGCUUACGCUAUGUUUCUAUGCUUUGGAAAAAAUUCUCAUAUAAAUUCAGAAUUUGCUUUCAUUCUGGUUUAUUAUAUUAUUCUUGAGAAUUUUGCGAUGACAUAUCAAAGAAUCUCUCUUUUGUUUUUCUGUUGAUAGUGAGAGCGCAAGCCCGGGGCGUAAACUUAAUAUUAAUUGCACCUGCCGUCACGUUGUUAGCCAGAUUGAGGCCAUAACAUAUUUCUUGCAAAUAUCGACUGCGUUGCAUCAAUUCGAUUCGAGGUCGGUUUGUCGAUUUUAAAUUAGGAAUCGAUCGUCGAAACUUCACUGUGAAACGCAUCCAACCAAUCACAGACUGGCAUUGUAACGAGAAGAUCUGAUUGGUUGGUUUCCUGUCACUGCAAAAAGUUUCGACGAUCAAACUCCAAUUGCGAACUCGCUCUAAGAACGGUUUCGAUUUCCAUUGUGGGCAAACGUUUCCGAUACCGGUGUGUAGAAAUCGGAUCCAAAUGAUAAGUUAAUACUUCGCGCGGUUCACGAAAAGGACAGAUAGCCGUUUCACAUUCCAACAUUUUAAAAUCAAUUGCAAGGCAUAUGUAAAGGCCAAACAUAAAUGUGCUCAAACUCAUUUGACGCGUGGUAUAUAGACAUUCUUUCUAUGUGGCACUUGAAUAAUCAUGAAUAGCUUCCAACAGAUGUGCAUUUAUUUAUGUUUUCGCUAUAUGUCACAAAAGUUGGCCUAAUCCAAAUGUUGCUGACACAUUAUGAUAAUUUUAAGUUUAUAAUAUAUUGUUUCAAUUACUGCAUAUUAUUUAUGAUAUUGAAAAAGUACAUAUCAUGAACACUGCAUAUACAUGCACAUGAGGUAGUUUUAAUAUGUACUUGUGAACAAUUCAAUGACUAAAUCUGCAAAAAAUCAAGUAUCUGUUGGAAGUCAAGUGUCAGAUUAAUUUUAAAAUAUAUCUCUCAGUACAGGAACUUAGUGGUAAGGUAUGUUAUAUGUCAGUAGGUAGCAAUCGUUUGUGUAACAUUGUACCGUGAGACAUGUCACACAGUUAUUUCUAAAAGCCUAUUGCACUACAUGUCUACUUACAUGAUUAUUGUAGAACAGAAACACCAAUCUAUAUAAUAUUAAUGAUCAUCAAAACCAAAUGCUAAAUAUUAGUGUUGUAUCGACCAUAGUUUCUAUCAUCGUAACCAUUACAGCAAUUAGGAGUCCACUCUUGGUAUAAACUAACCCAUAGUUUUGGUUGCAGUUUAAGAAUAACAGAUUCUCCAACUGCAACCGAAACUAUGGGCGAAUAUAUAUAAUAUAAUAUUCAUAAAUAUAAAAAAUAUUUUAUAUAUUAAGUGAUGUUAUGUGGCAAAGAAGUGAGAGACGGGAGUUUAUGAAAAGCAAAUGGCCUACACCCGUGCAAACACUGAUAGUUCAUUAAUGACUAAUGUUGAUAACUUAUUAAAAUUUAGCAUUUGGUAUAUUCAUAAUUUCGUUUUAAAAUUUAAUCAUUUGCGUGUACAUAAUCGCCAUAAAAGUAAUGAAUCUUAUGACGCAUAUUUGUUCGGUUUAAAAAAUAAAUACUAAUAAGAAUUUUUCCUAUGUAUUGAAAAGGCGUAAAUAUGGCGAGUUUGAUUACUUAGUUCGAAUUUCAAUAAUGCUUUAUGGAUAUAAUUUUUUUGUAUGAAAAUUAUGUACGUUUAGUUACUCGCUAAAGAACUAUUCGGCGCGUCAAAAAAAAAAUGCAACAAAAAAAAAACGCAUUUCUUUUGAGCGACACGAGGUUUCAGGCAUACAGUUUUAUCGCACUUGGUGGUUCUCAGAGCGUUUUAUCGAGCGUCAAUUUUCUUGAGGAAGGAAUCAUUUACAAAAUCAAUCAUUAUUAUAAUUUACAUUACCACAGUAAUGAUUUAUAAUUUUAAAGUCAGAUAGUAAAACUAAUUCUUGUCUUUGUUAAAAUUUGAAAAAUUGUAAUGACAGCGCGGCUGCAGCGUUCAAAAUGCUAUGAGAACCAGUAUUUUUGUACUGCAUAAAAUGGUUAUGAAUAUUUGGUUAGACGGUAUAAAAUACUCCAAUUAUAACUCCAACUCCAUCUAUACUUUUCCCCGUGACGUUCAAAUUUAUUAAUCAAUACAGCUUGCAUCAACCAAGCACAUAGCAUAAUACCUAUCCAAUUAAAAUAAAAUAUUCAAAAUAAUUAUAGCACGGACAUCUAUUCUCACAAGGAGAUUUAGACAAGGAACAUUGUGAGUACUUGUGACGCAGGUGCGAGUGUAAAGAAUGACUUGGCUAUGUUUUGAAUAUUUAGUUAACAGAAAAAUUGUAAAAUCGUUCAACUUUUGUUGUAUGCAAGUUACAGAUAUCUUGACUUAGAAAUGUUUAUUGUCUUUUAUACAAGAGAUAACGGAGCAUUGAAUGUAAACAUAUUUAUUUGGCCUGUUUAUGUCAGGUGGUUUAGUUGUGAUAUUGCCUAUCUUAAUUUUUUGUAUACGUUUAUUUUUAAUUGGUCACCAUUGUGACGUUAAUUUUAGAUGCAGCAAUUAUAGAAGUAAAAUAUAAUUUUAGAAUAAAUAUUACGUAUAUCCCUAACCAGUGUGACAGGAAUGCAUUUUGUAUGGGUUUAUUUUACUGUAAGAAAAAGCAGAAAGUUGAUUUAUUGUAAUUCUUAGAAUAUUAUGCUUAUGUUAUUUAUAGUUUAUAUUGGUACAUUAUAGAAUCAAUAUUUCUGUAUGUAUGGUUUUUUAAUGAGAAUUUUCCACAAGUUUAUGAGUGUAAUAGACAAAUGGUGAAGACAGGGAAGGUUGUUAGUUCUAUAUAUAAUACAAACAGUAUUUCAGUUAGUAUAAGUUGUUUUUACAUGCACCUUCCUUAUGUCUCCCACUGACGCAAUAGUAUGGCUAUAAGUAUAGUUAUUGUGAAUCGCUAUAUAAGUGAGGACUGCUGUAAUUGUUUCAUUAUUUAUGUAAUAUAUAAACUGUAGAAAUCUUCCUAUUAUUUUGUAGUACAAUCAAAGUAUAAUAAAUGAUUUUGAAAUGUG